GGGGCUGUGGCUCAGCGGGCAGAGCCUCUGCCUGGCACGCAGAAGGCCCCGGGUUCGAUCCCCGGCAGCUCCA